AGUGAACGCUGGCGGUAGGCCUAACACAUGCAAGUCGAACGGCAGCACAGAGGAGCUUGCUCCUUGGGUGGCGAGUGGCGGACGGGUGAGGAAUACAUCGGAAUCUACUCUGUCGUGGGGGAUUACGUAGGGAAACUUACGCUAAUACCGCAUACGACCUACGGGUGAAAGCAGGGGAUCUUCGGACCUUGCGCGAUUGAACGAGCCGAUGUCGGAUUAGGUAGUUGGCGGGGUAAAGGCCCACCAAGGCGACGAUCCGGAGCUGGUCUGAGAGGAUGAUCAGCCACACUGGAACUGAGACACGGUCCAGACUCCUACGGGAGGCAGCAGUGGGGAAUAUUGGACAAUGGGCGCAAGCCUGAUCCAGCCAUACCGCGUGGGUGAAGAAGGCCUUCGGGUUGUAAAGCCCUUUUGUUGGGAAAGAAAUCCAGCUGGUUAAUACCCGGUUGGGAUGACGGUACCCAAAGAAUAAGCACCGGCUAACUUCGUGCCAGCCGCCGCAGUAA
rnacentral:rRNA from 1 species